rnacentral:tRNA from 1 species
CGGGGUUUAGCGCAGGGGUAGCGCGUCUGCCUUGGGAGCAGAAGGUCGUGAGUUCAAAUCUCACAACUCCGA